GUCGGGCAACUAAUUAUAUGAGUUUGUUCGAAAAACCACUUUCCUUUGCUCCUAGCGCCUUCUCGUUGGCUGUAUAGCGUUUAGAGCGGAUAAAGAGCACAAGUGUGUAAGGAGACACAGGAUGAAUGGGAACUCGAUUUGUUAUUGUACUUUUGAUGAAAACUGACUUUCUAGACAUAAAAUGUCACUUUUUUCACCUUAUCAUACUUUUUCAUCAACUUUUGCAUUUUAAUGUAAACAAUCAUAUUUCGUAAUAUUUUGGGUCAGAAACAUUUCAUAGUACUAUAUUAUGUCUAACUAUGUGAAAAAAAUCAAAUUGGAGUAGGUCGGGCCACUGAUUAUAUGAGUUUGUUCGAAAAACCACUUUCCUUUGCUCCUAGCGCCUUCUCGUUCGCUCUAUAGCGUUUUGAGCGGAUAAAGAGCACAAGUGUGCAUGCAGACACAGGAUGAAUGGGAACUCGAUUUGUUAUUGUACUUUUGAUGAAAACUGACUUUCUAGACAUAAAAUGUCACUUUUUUCACCUUAUCAUACUUUUUCAUCAACUUUUGCAUUUUAAUGUAAACAAUCAUAUUUCGUAAUAUUUUGGGUCAGAAACAUUUCAUAGUACUAUAGUAUGUCUAACUAUGUGAAAAAAAUCAAAUUGGAGUAGGUCGGGCAACUGAUUAUAUGAGUUUGUUCGAAAAACCACUUUCCCUUGCUCCUAGCGCCUUCUCGUUCGCUCUAUAGCGUUUUGAGCGGAUAAAGAGCACAAGUGUGUAAGGAGACACAGGAUGAAUGCGAACUACUUUUGUUAUUGUACUUUUGAUGAAAACUGACUUUCUAGACAUAAAAUGUCACUUUUUUCACCUUAUCAUACUUUUUCAUCAACUUUUGCAUUUUAAUGUAAACAAUCAUAUUUCGUAAUAUUUUGGGUCAGAAACAUUUCAUAGUACUAUAUUAUGUCUAACUAUGUGAAAAAAAUCAAAUUGGAGUAGGUCGGGCAACUGAUUAUAUGAGUUUGUUCGAAAAACCACUUUCCUUUGCUCCUAGCGCCUUCUCGUUCGCUCUAUAGCGUUUUGAGCGGAUAAAGAGCACAAGUGUGCAUGCAGACACAGGAUGAAUGGGAACUCGAUUUGUUAUUGUACUUUUGAUGAAAACUGACUUUCUAGACAUGAAAUGUCACUUUUUUCACCUUAUCAUACUUUUUCAUCAACUUUUUCAUUUUAAUGUAAACAAUCAUGUUUCGUAAUAUUUUGGGUCAGAAACAUUUCAUAGUACUAUAUUAUGUCUAAAUAUGUGAAAAGAAUCAAAUUGGAGUAGGUCCGGCAACUGAUUAUAUGAGUUUGUUAGAAAAACCACUUUCAAUUCAAUUCAAUUCAAUUCAAUUUUAUUUGUAUAGCGCUUUUUACAAUAGACAUUGUCU
ensembl:lncRNA